rnacentral:rRNA from 1 species
GACAGAGGGUGCAAACGUUGCUCGGAAUUACUGGGCGUAAAGCGCGUGUAGGCGGGCUUGCAAGUCAGAUGUGAAAUCCCCGGGCUCAACCCGGGAACUGCAUUUGAAACUGCAAGCCUUGAGUAUCGGAGAGGAAAGCGGAAUUCCUGGUGUAGAGGUGAAAUUCGUAGAUAUCAGGAGGAACACCGGUGGCGAAGGCGGCUUUCUGGACGAUAACUGACGCUGAGACGCGAAAGCGUGGGGAGCAAACAGG